rnacentral:rRNA from 1 species
GUGGACGCCAGUCUGCGUGGAGCCGACCUUGAAAUACCACCCUUUAAUGUUUGAUGUUCUAACGUGGACCCGUAAUCCGGGUUGCGGACAGUGUCUGGUGGGUAGUUUGACUGGGGCGGUCUCCUCCUAAAGAGUAACGGAGGAGCACGAAGGUUGGCUAAUCCUGGUCGGACAUCAGGAGGUUAGUGCAAUGGCAUAAGCCAGCUUGACUGCGAGCGUGACGGCGCGAGCAGGUGCGAAAGCAGGUCAUAGUGAUCCGGUGGUUCUGAAUGGAAGGGCCAUCGCUCAACGGAUAAAAGGUACUCCGGGGAUAACAGGCUGAUACCGCCCAAGAGUUCAUAUCGACGGCGGUGUUUGGCACCUCGAUGUCGGCUCAUCACAUCCUGGGGCUGAAGUAGGUCCCAAGGGUAUGGCUGUUCGCCAUUUAAAGUGGUACGCGAGCUGGGUUUAGAACGUCGUGAGACAGUUCGGUCCCUAUCUGCCGUGGGCGCUGGAGAACUGAGGGGGGCUGCUCCUAGUACGAGAGGACCGGAGUGGACGCAUCACUGGUGUUCGGGUUGUCAUGCC